rnacentral:rRNA from 1 species
UACGUAGGGUGCAGGCGUUAAUCGGAAUUACUGGGCGUAAAGCGUGCGCAGGCGGUCUGCUAAGAGAGGUGUGAAAGCCCCGGGCUCAACCUGGGAAUGGCAUUUGGGACUGCAAGGCUGGAGUUUGGCAGAGGAGACUGGAAUUCCUGGUGUAGCAGUGAAAUGCGUAGAUAUCAGGAGGAAUACCGAUGGCGAAGGCAGGUCUCUGGGCUAUAACUGACGCUCAUGCACGAAAGCGUGGGGAGCAAACAGG